GGCCGAGCGAGAUGGCGCAGUGGUUAGCGCACUGGACUCGCAUUCCGGAGGACGGCGGUUCAAUCCCGCGUCCGGCCA